UGGCGGCAUGCCUAACACAUGCAAGUCGCGCGGUCAGCAAUGGCAGCGGCGGACGGGUGAGUAACGCGUAGGAAUGUAUCCAGAGGUGGGGGACAACCCCGGGAAACUGGGGCUAAUACCGCAUAUGUCCUGAGGGACAAAGCAGUAAUGCGCCUUUGGAGCAGCCUGCGUCCGAUUAGGUAGUUGGUGGGGUAAUGGCCUACCAAGCCUGCGAUCGGUAGCUGGUCUGAGAGGACGAUCAGCCACACUGGGACUGAGACACGGCCCAGACUCCUACGGGAGGCAGCAGUGGGGAAUAUUGGACAAUGGGCGAAAGCCUGAUCCAGCAAUGCCGCGUGAGUGAUGAAGGCCUUAGGGUUGUAAAGCUCUUUUACCCGAGAUGAUAAUGACAGUAUCGGGAGAAUAAGCUCCGGCUAACUCCGUG
rnacentral:rRNA from 1 species